rnacentral:lncRNA from 1 species
AUGAGCUCCCUGCAGCAGGGUCCGGGCACCGGAGGAGUGAACCCCCCCCUCACUAAGAACUACUCUGGGAGGCCACUUCCACACAGACCAGACCGUAGUGGGGAAAAGGGCCAGGACAAAAAGCUGCCAAGGGCUCCCCUGGGCUCUUCCUCCCCUCCUUUUCAGCUCGGAGCCUGGGAGAGAGGCAGGCUGGGGAGUCGGGAGAAGAGCCAGAACAGGAACCGAAAGAGGAGCGCCGAGUACCGGGGACAACAAUGGAAUGAAGAGUCGGAGGCUCCGGGGCUGAGCCGUUUCCCAUCUCUGGGAGUUUGCCGAGUUUCCAGGGGACAGAGCAGUCCUGCUCUCCCUCAUCUCCCCCGCCCCAGGAAGAUCAGCUGUCAGGUCGUGUCAAGACAGGGCUGGACCCCAAACCAUUGCUUAAGGACUUUGGAAGCCUUGGCAAGGCCAAGCAGCCAGAUGCCCCAAGUGGGAAGGGAGGUUGCGAGUGUGUUGGAGAGUUGGGGGAGGGGAAUGAGAAGAGGGUGGGGGACGAUCGUCACCUUGGCAACUCGGAUCCCUGGGGAGCGGGCUGGGCAGGGGCUUGCCCGCUCCGGUGGUAGCGGUCGGGGGAGGGGCGCCUCCCCUUCCUCCUCGAGCCCCCUCCCCCCACGUGGCUCCCGAGCUGGGAUCCCGGCGCGCGGGUCCCCGAGGGGAAAGUUGCCGAGGGUAGGGACAAAGCCGGGGCUCCGGGCGCCAACAUCCCUCAACGCCGCCCGCCCGCAUCCCCGCCCAGGUACCUGGGUGCCAUCCCCGCCGUGGCCGCCGCCGCCGCGUCCUCCUCCUUCUUCAGAUGCUAGGGGUGCUGGUGCAGGCAGCCGUUGUUACCUCCCGGCUGUAACCGUAGCCGUGGUCGUGGCUGCAGUAGCUGCCCUGGCCCCAACAGGAACAGCAGCAGCAGCAGCAGCAGCAACAGCCGCCUGCGCCCCAGAUCCGUUAGCUCCGCCGGGCCCCUCCGCUCGCCGCUGCCGCCGCCACCGCCUGUGAGAGUCCCCUCCCUCCUCCUCCUCUACCUCCUCCUCCCUUCUGCUCCUCCCUCCUAUCUUCCUCGGCUGGGUGAGCAGCCGCCGUCGCCUUUCCCU